rnacentral:rRNA from 1 species
AGGGAAUCUUCCGCAAUGGACGAAAGUCUGACGGAGCAACGCCGCGUGAGUGAUGAAGGUUUUCGGAUCGUAAAGCUCUGUUGUUAGGGAAGAACAAGUGCGAGAGUAACUGCUCGCACCUUGACGGUACCUAACCAGAAAGCCACGGCUAACUACGUGCCAGCAGCCGCGGUAAU